CGCGAAUGGCGGGAUUGGCGUGCCAUAAUUCCGCCGGUAAGGCGACGACGUUGCAGGAAGCCGGUGUGAGUCCGGCGCGGUCCCGCCACUGUCAUCGGGGAGCGACCCUCAUCCGCCACGGCUGCGAGCUGGAAGGCGAGGCGAGCAACGAUCCGAGAGCCAGGACACUCGCGUCGUCGCAUCCUGCUAC
rnacentral:ncRNA from 1 species